UAGUAGUAGUAAUACAUCAUCACAACUUUUUUGAUCUUCAUUGUUUAGGAAUGCAAGGGUCCUGCCACUGGUCAGGGGACAGAUGACGGCAAGGAAACUGCAGCAACUUGGCCCUGGUUUGCCCUCAUGGACAAGGCAUUAGGGCAGUCUGCAGCUGUCUCGCCCCCCUGCCUUAUUGCUUCGAUCCAAGAUGACAAACAAGGCCCAAGUACUGCACAAGAGGUAGAGGAAGGGAACAAGGAGGAGGAGGAGGAGG